rnacentral:rRNA from 1 species
GAUGAACGCUGGCGGCGUGCUUAACACAUGCAAGUCGAACGGAAAGGCCCAAGCUUGCUUGGGUACUCGAGUGGCGAACGGGUGAGUAACACGUGGGUGAUCUGCCCUGCACUUCGGGAUAAGCCUGGGAAACUGGGUCUAAUACCGGAUAGGACCACAUUUUGGAUGGUGUGGUGGAAAGUUUUUCGGUGUGGGAUGAGCUCGCGGCCUAUCAGCUUGUUGGUGGGUAAUGGCCUACCAAGGCGUCGACGGGUAGCCGGCCUGAGAGGGUGUACGGCCACAUUGGGACUGAGAUACGGCCCAGACUCCUACGGGAGGCAGCAGUGGGGAAUAUUGCACAAUGGGCGCAAGCCUGAUGCAGCGACGCCGCGUGGGGGAUGACGGCCUUCGGGUUGUAAACUCCUUUCGCUAGGGACGAAGCACAAGUGACGGUACCUGGAGAAGAAGCACCGGCUAACUACGUG